rnacentral:rRNA from 1 species
AUUGAACGCUGGCGGCAGGCCUAACACAUGCAAGUCGAACGAAUGGCGGACGGGUGAGUAAUGUCUGGGAAACUGCCUGAUGGAGGGGGAUAACUACUGGAAACGGUAGCUAAUACCGCAUACCAUCGGAUGUUCCCAGAUGGGAUUAGCUAGUAGGUGGGGUAAAGGCUCAACUAGGCGACGAUCCCUAGCUGGUCUGAGAGGAUGACCAGCAACACGGGAACGGAGAGACGGUCCAGACUUCGACGGGAGGAAGAAGUGGGGAAUAUGGCACAAGGGGCGAAAGCCUGAGGCAGCAAUGCCGCGUGUAGGAAGAAGGCAUUCGGGUUGUAACGUACUUUCAGCGGGGAGGCGUUACCCGCAGAAGAAGCACCGGCUAACUCCGUGCUAGCAGCCGCGGUAAUC